GUGGGGAAUCUUCCGCAAUGGACGAAAGUCUGACGGAGCAACGCCGCGUGAGUGAUGAAGGUCUUCGGAUUGUAAAGCUCUGUUAAUCGGGACGAAAGAGCCUAGUGUGAAUAAUGCUAGGAAGUGACGGUACCGGAAUGGAAAGCCACGGCUAACUACGUGCCAGCAGCCGCGGUAAUACGUAGGUGGCAAGCGUUGUCCGGAAUUAUUGGGCGUAAAGCGCGCGCAGGCGGAUCUGCCAGUCUGUCUUAAAAGUUCGGGGCUUAACCCCGUGAUGGGAUGGAAACUACAGAUCUAGAGUAUCGGAGAGGAAAGUGGAAUUCCUAGUGUAGCGGUGAAAUGCGUAGAUAUUAGGAAGAACACCAGUGGCGAAGGCGACUUUCUGGACGAAAACUGACGCUGAGGCGCGAAAGCCAGGGGAGCGAACGGGAUUAGAUACCCUUGUAGUCC
rnacentral:rRNA from 1 species